GUGUAAAAUAUGAGAUUGGUGACAGAGUGAUCAGCAUCUUACAGAAAUGAAUGCCCAAGCUGCCUCCAGUCCCUACCCAGUCCUGUCCCAUGGACAACAGUGGAAUGAGCAAUGGCAGUGUCACUGAAGGAUGGAGCCAGUGAGUCACAGAUUAUGUUCAUUUUCCUAA
rnacentral:lncRNA from 1 species